AGAGAUAACCAGGCCUUGCAAAGCAGACACUCAUUCAGAGAUAUGUCCUUGCAUGCCUUCCAUGUACCUCUGAGGUCAGUAACUCGUCCUCAAGAAUUUUACCUAGCUCUGUCCCUGGGAAAAGGUCUAAAUCACAAAAUCUAAGAAGAAGGAGGUCUGCGUGCCUGACCAACCUGAUAAACUCCUAUGAUGAAAUCAUCGGCCUGAUGGAUGACAAGGGAGCAGUGGAUAUUCACCUUGUUGGACUUCAGUAAGACCUUUCACAUUGUCCUCCAUAGUAUCCUCACAGAAAAGCUGUUGAAGUAUGGGCUGGAUGAGCAGAUAUGGAUGCAGAAGUGGACUGAAAACUGUCUGAAUGGCCAGGUCAAGAGAGAUGAUCCUUGUGCUCUACUCAGUGCUGGUGAGGUUGCAUCUCAUAUACAGCACCCAGUUCUGGUCUACUCAGUACUAAAGAGACCUGGAUGUACUGGAAAGAGUCCAGAGGAGGACCAUCAAGUUGAAGAAGGAACUGGAGCACCUCUUCUGUGAGGAGAGGCUGAAAGAUCUGGGACUGCUCAGUACGUAGAAGCAGGCUCAGGAGAGAUCUCAUAGACUAGUAUCUUUGAAGGGAGGGUGAAGACACCCCAUGUUAUUUUCAGUCAUGUUGCGCUAGGACAGGGCUUAAUGGGCACAAACUGGAGUACAGGAGGUUCUGUCUAAGCAGCAGGAAACACUUCUUUAUUUUGUGGGUUAUAAAGCACUGGCACAGGUUGUCCUCUGCUGGUUGUAGAGCCUUGUACUUCAGAAGCUAUCUAGACUUUGUCCUAGGCAACCUGUACAAGGUUUCCCUGCUUGAGCAGGAGGGGCUGACCAGAUGAUUUCCAGAGGACCCUUCCAAUCUCAACUAUUCUGUGAUCCUAUGAUUCAAAUGCACCAUUUGUUCGAAAAACUCUAAGGAAAUAUAUUAAGAAAAUGUCUCUCUGAUAAUACAGCUUAUGUGCAAAGCUCAGUGGAGAGAAUACUAGACAAUCAUCCUUAGUUUACAGAAUAAAAAGCAACAGAGAAAUCAAGGUCACUUACAAAUUAAUUAAUUUUAUAGCAAAGUCUUCACUAACACUGAACUCAGAAAAACAGAAGUUCGUGUUUUAUAAAAGUGGCAGUUAACUAACACUAAUAAAAAUGAGCUAGACUGUGGCUGCAGACUGAAAAAUAAAAAAUUCAUGCCUGAUAAAUAAGCAUCUCAAUCCAUUUUGUCUGCAACAUGGAGGAAGACAAUAAAAACUGACAAUAAUUCAAAGG
ensembl:lncRNA